CAGGGAGACAAAACUGAUUGUGAUGCCUGAAUUAUUUAGUUUUAGGCCAUAAUCCUGUCACCUUAGGUCGAUCGGUACCUCAGUUAAAUAUCUAAUUCCUAAGAAUUUAGUUCUAGAAGAUAUUGAAUUCAGUUCCUAAACUUUUUGUCUAGGUCACACCCCGCAAGGGUACUCCUGGGCCAUUAGCUCAGGUGGUUAGAGCGCACCCCUGAUAAGGGUGAGGUCCCUGGUUCAAGUCCAGGAUGGCCCAUUCGGUGUUGGGGGUAUAGCUCAGUUGGUAGAGCGCCUGCUUUGCAAGCAGGAUGUCAGCGGUUCGAGUCCGCUUACCUCCACUGAUCGACUUCCUGAUAACGAGCUUAAGGAGAUUUUUGUUUCACGUGAUCUAGAAUUUGUUCUAUAUGAAAGAACCUAGCUUCUUGUCAUUUCAACUAAAAAUAAUUUUUUUGUUUGAGUGAUAGGACGCUGGGCUCACUGCAAUAACAAAUUGCAGAGAAGUUCAGCAGAACCUUGACAACUGCAUAGGUGAGUCUGGAAAGAAUAAAGCAUCUCAUGGAUGCAUUACUCUUUUGAUCCAAAUGUGAUUAUCUGAUUAAAUCAGAUAAUCAUUUGAUUUAAAGUUUAAUGUUUAAUUCUUGAGCAAGAGCUGAGACUCUAUAACGUCCUUUCAUUGCAUAUUGCAUAGAAAGUUUGAUUCUUAAUUUCACUUCUUAUGGAUAUAGAAGAGUUAGAUUAUUUCUACACUUUAUAUAUCAUUUCGAUAUGAAAUUAAUUAGAAAAGUGUUAACAACACAUAGCGUUUUAGAGGUUAAU
rnacentral:tRNA from 1 species